GUGGGCACUUGGUAUUUUCAGGAACAAACACACACUGGCUAUAAAAAGGAGGGAAAAGCUCUUUUCAUUGCCUGUAUUAGUUAUUCCCUGGGCUCUGGGGCUGUUGGGGAGGAACCUGGGGGUGCAGCUUUAAAGCAAAAACGUCUCCGCGCUGGCCAGCAGCGAGUUCAGGUAAAAUGUUUCCAAAAAAGGUUAAAGAGCUUUGCAUCUUGGAGACAGAGGAGGCAGGCUCUGGGAUCUUACAGGACUUGGAAUAAGAUGGUGACAAGGUUUUGUCCCAAAAGGUCAUUGCCGUGGGUGGCUGCCAGGCUGUGUCCUUCCACUCCAUCCAUCCACCUCCUGCUCCCAUUCAGGACAUACUGGGAAGGAACAGAGAGAGACAGGAGUUAUUUUUAGGCAGCAAACUGAGUUACAGCCCCGGCUCUGCCCCCUGUGCCCACAGGGAGAGUGUCCAGCAGCAGCAGCAGCAGCAGCACUUGAACCCUCUGCAUUGCUCCACCCUGCAAAUGCUCCCCCUGAAUGGCAGGAGAGCAUUCCCAGGGCCUCUGGCUCAGCUCUGGGAUCACUCCCUGCACGGAGCAGGGUCAGGAAUCCUCUGGCAGAGGUGAAGGUUGGGAACACCCCAGUGCUGGGGGCACCCGGAGCUGCCCGGGAGAGGAGAGGCUUUACCAGCUCCUGAACACUUUGGGAAUGUCCUGUUGGAUCCAACCAUCUCCUGGGGGUGUUCCCAAUCCAUGGGGCUGUUCCCACCCCCAGACACUGUUUGAGCUGAGGGAUAAAUCAAACAGAGUCCUUACCUUUCCCUCUCGGCCAUGUCUUGUUUCUCUUCUGCCCUGUAAACACAAAUCACCUUUGGAAUCAUCCUCCUGAGGUGAACAGUGGGAAGGAGGGGAGAAUCCAGGGCCCUUCUGGGGUGAUGGAGAGGAGAAUCCAGGGCCCUUCUGGGUGAUGGAUGGACCUUGGAGAGGUCAGCAAUGGUCUCCAGUCCCUGGGACCCCCAGCCCUGGUGGCUCUCGUGCUCCAGGAGCUGGGCUGGACAACUCACUCAGUCCUCCCAAACUGGCAUCUCCCACUCAGGCACCAGCACCAGGAGGGGCUGAGGCACCUGUGCUGACCCAGUGGGUCUUUCCUCUCUCCUUCCCUGCCUCUUGUUUUCCCUGGAAUCAUCCCUGCUCAUGCCCAGCCCUCCCAGCAGCACUUCUGACCCCAAAGCACCGGGGAGGGAGCAGGUCUGGAAAAUGAAACCAAACAAACUGCACAAGCUGAAGUCCCUCUUCAUGCCACUCCACAGGGAUGAAGUGGCUUUUAAAACAAGCACAGGGGCUCACUUUAGGGUCAGUCUGCUGCUCAAAUAGGGAUAAUGUGCCUGUUUUAUACAGAGAGGGGUGUCUGAUGACCUUUGGGAGCACAGACAGUGUGGGAUGAGGAUGUGUGGGGUUCAGAGGUUGUGUGGAUAAAUAGCCUUCUAAUCUAUGGAUAAAUAAUAACCUUUUAAUCAAGCUUCUCC